UACGUAGGGUGCGAGCGUUGUCCGGAAUUAUUGGGCGUAAAGAGCUCGUAGGCGGUUUGUUGCGUCGGCUGUGAAAUCCCGAGGCUCAACCUCGGGUCUGCAGUCGAUACGAGCAAACUAGAGUGUUGCAGGGGAGACUGGAAUUCCUGGUGUAGCGGUGAAAUGCGCAGAUAUCAGGAGGAACACCGGUGGCGAAGGCGGGUCUCUGGGCUGAUACUGACGCUGAGGAGCGAAAGCGUGGGGAGCGAACAGG
rnacentral:rRNA from 1 species